rnacentral:lncRNA from 1 species
AAUGACAUUCCACUCUGGCUGUGGUAUGGAGAAGAGGGCUGAGCUGGAGUAGGUCUGGAGGCUGGGUCAUGGGCCAGGGUUUCAGAUUCACCCAGAUGCCUUGGAUAAUUUGUUUUGGAAAACAUAUAUUGAAGAUAUCAGAGCCACAGUAUGACAGAAGACUAGGUCCCAGAAUCACAACUGGAAGGAAAGUCAUGCACUAAUGAAGAAAACAAUUCUUAAGGCUUAUAUGAGCUGAAAACAAACUUCUGUCAUGUUGCUGCCUUUAUCCAUUUUUAAAAGAUGUUUGUCAUCAGUAGUGCUACUCUAAUAAAAUACAUCAUGAGCACAAUAACUUAAACUGGUCUCAUUAUAAAUCCUAGAUCUCCUAUCAUCACAGUUUAAAUCCAGACUACUGGUGUGGAAAGGUAUAUAAAUGCCUUCCAGAAUCUGAAAGGCAUAAUUUUGUUCACUUAUUUCAGGUUUUACUAAGGAUUCCAUACCCUUGGCUUCUGUUGAAUUAUUUC